CUGACAUCAGCCAGGCAGGACAGAGGUGCAACACAACCUCAGAGACACCCCCUUUUAUGGAUGGCUUUGUGGGAGGCCAUCCCAAAGAUCUUGGCACGAAGCCUUGUCUGACCUCAGGCAUGCCAUGGUGGGGAACCUGCUGGCAGAGUCCCCAGAUACAGAGAGUCUGUCAAUGUCUGCAGCAGGCUCAGAGAGUCUCAGGAGAGAGCCAAGGCCAUAAGGAAUAGUAGAACCACAUUCUGAUUCACCAUCCUUCUCCUUGAAUGUGAGAACUCAGCACAGUUCUCUGAACUUGGCGGCUUAGCUGAAACUGUCCAUCAGUGACUCAGCUAAGGACAUCAGCUGGCUGGCCAGCGAGGCGAUUUACCAGCUCUCCAAAGUACUGCUCUGCUAGAGUCCUUUAGGUACGAUGGAAUCUCUAGCUGCUUCACUGUGGGAGCUUUCUGCCAGUUUUGAGCUGCCUGAGAACUCAUUGAAAUUACAUAGAACCGGUUUAAUCUUUCCAAUUGAAACAUGGGUCCAGGACUACGAGGAUUAAGUUUUGGUGUCCUAUUGAGGGGCUCUGGGAGAAGCCUUGGGCCUGCUGAUCUGUGAAAGAUGAAUGUGAUGUGGUUUGAUUUAGAAGGAACAUGCUGGUGGCCCAUAUGAGAACUGGGUGAAGAGAUGCUGAAGAGGUGAGCUGGGAGAAGCCAGCUUGGACCAGUUACAGCUGGACUUGAGGGACUGAAUUUUUAAGUGACUUAGCCAUGGAAAACCCAGAUAGUCUCCUUCCUGCUGGUCAGUCUAAGGGGAAGAGUUAUCACCCAGCUCUUGUGGCUCUGAGCACCUGAGGUUCUGUACACCUGGGACUCAUGCCCCAAGGAGGAGCCUAUAAUAGAGGCCUUGAGCUUGUCUUUAACAUUCAGUGCUGCCUUGAUACUACUGUGCUGCUUUAGUGAAGAUACUACUAUGAUGGGUCUGAGAACUUCUUCUAUCUGUGUAGUUCAUCCCCUCCCCCCCCCCAA